GCUGAGGAAAAGUCUGACUGACCGCUCCAUAAAACCUGCAUAGCUGCUGGUAAGGUACUGACGGCUCAUAAAUACUUCACAGAACAUCAGUUAGGAAAUCUGAGCCAGGCCUCCACCACAUUAUUCAUAAUUUACGCCCCUCAGUAACACAACAUGAGGUCAAUGUUGCUGUAUUUGUUCUGCAUGAAGAGAUCAUUUUAAACAUCCUGGGGGCAUCCGGCCGUCCAAUCCGAGCGGAGCUGAGUUUACAGCUGCUGGACCUGCAGGAUGUUCCGCGGCUCUCCUGUUCGCUCUCAGGUGUAAAUCUCCCUCUGGGUUCUGGCUGCAGGUGUACAGACAGCAGGAAUAUUUUUAGAUGGGCUCACCUGUCAGACUGAUUUAUAAUGAAAACCUUCAGAAGCGAUGAGUCGGUCCAAACAGACCUCAGCAGGAAAACUCAGAUCCGUCCUGUUAACAAGCUGCGACUUCCAGCCCUGUGAUGCUAAUGUGCUGCGGCAGGGCAGCGGCGCUUUAGCGCUGCGCUCAGUCCGCCCCAAAUGUUCAACUCAUUAAGCAUGAAUCCACACGCCACGCUGCGCGCCACCCAGACAUUCCUGCAGCGCUUCCUGCGCCUCCAACUCGGGAUGCUAACGGCUUUUAGCUAAUAGCUCGGAUGUUCAUGGCUUGGAGCUAAGUGUGGGAUGCUAAGGGCUUUUAGCUAAUGGCUCGGAUGCUCAUGGCUGGGAGCUAAGUGUGGGAUGCUAAUGGCUUUCAGCUAACAGCUUGGAUGCUAACAGCUUUUAGCUAACGGCUCGGAUGCUCAUGGCUGGCAGC